rnacentral:rRNA from 1 species
GAUGAACGCUAGCGGCAGGCCUAAUACAUGCAAGUCGAACGGUGUAGCAAUACACAGUGGCGCACGGGUGCGUAACACGUAUGCAACCUACCUAUUAUUGGGGGAUAGCCUUUGGAAACGGAGAUUAAUACCGCAUAAGACAGUGACAUGGCAUCAUGUAGCUGUUAAAGCUUCGGCGAUAAUAGAUGGGCAUGCGUCCAAUUAGUUAGUUGGUGAGGUAACGACUCACCAAGACGAUGAUUGGUAGGGGAUCUGAGAGGAUAAUCCCCCACACUGGAACUGAGAUACGGGCCAGACUCCUACGGGAGGCAGCAGUAGGGAAUAUUGGGCAAUGGGCGGAAGCCUGACCCAGCCAUGCCGCGUGCAGGAUGACGGCGUUAUGCGUUGUAAACUGCUUUUUUAUAGGAAGAAGAAGCCCUUGCGAGGGAAAGUGACGGUACUAUAAGAAUAAGCACCGGCUAACUCCGUGCCAGCCGCCGCAGUAAAAC